rnacentral:tRNA from 1 species
CGGGGUGUAGCUCAGUUGGUAGAGUGCGCGUUUCGGGUACGCGAGGUCGGCAGUUCGAGUCUGCCCACCCCGA